GAAAUGCGAUAAGUAGUGUGAAUUGCAGAAUUCAGUGAAUCAUCGAAUCUUUGAACGCACAUUGCGCCCCUUGGUAUUCCAUGGGGCAUGCCUGUUCGAGCGUCAUUUGUACCCUCAAGCUCUGCUUGGUGUUGGGUGUUUGUCCCCGUCUCCGCGCGUGGACUCGCCCCAAAGUGAUUGGCAGCCGGCGUACUGGUCCCGGAGCGCAGCACAUGUCGCGCAAACGAGUGCCUUGGUACGCCGGCGUCCAUAAGCCCCUCUCUCACGCUCUUGACCUCGGAUCAGGUAGGGAUACCCGCUGAACUUAAGC
rnacentral:misc_RNA from 1 species